rnacentral:misc_RNA from 1 species
UGUUUUUGAGUAGUGGCAGAAGCUAUUUUUUAAAAUCUAAAAAAAGUAGCUUUCACCAAAAGCACUUUUGGAACAUUGGCCAAACACAAAGUACAGCUAUAAUAUUAGCAGAAGUGCUUUCGAAAUCGAUUGGCCAAACACAAAAUGCUACUCUUCAGAAGUACUUUUCUGAGAAUCACUUCUGACAAUAGCACUUCUCAAAAUAAGCAGAUUCAGG